GGUGGAGCUUAGUGGUAAAGUGCAUGUUUAGCAGGAAUGAGGUCCUGGGUUCUAUCCCCAGCACC
rnacentral:tRNA from 1 species